UACGAAGGGGGCUAGCGUUGCUCGGAUUGACUGGGCGUAAAGGGCGCGUAGGCGGUUGUACAGUCAGACGUGAAAUUCCCGGGCUCAACCUGGGGGCUGCGUUUGAUACGUGCAGACUUGAGUUCGGAAGAGGGUCGUGGAAUUCCCAGUGUAGAGGUGAAAUUCGUAGAUAUUGGGAAGAACACCGGUGGCGAAGGCGGCGACCUGGUCCGAUACUGACGCUGAGGCGCGAAAGCGUGGGGAGCGAACGG
rnacentral:rRNA from 1 species